rnacentral:misc_RNA from 1 species
GUUCAAGGCAAAACAAAGACCCUAAGAGAUUCUGCCGUAAAAAAACAACCAUUAUAUACAGAAAGUCUUAUUUGUGGACAAAAAAUUCCUAACAACCCAUUUUCUACAUUAAGAAAUCUUACUCAGGGGAAGUCAGGCGCCUACCGUAGACUUCACUACUUGAUCACAAGAAACAGCCAAGAUCAGAGCUCAUUUAUCUGAUUCAAAUUCAACUGGCUAAAAUUGUCCCUCUACUGCUUCACCACACCAACACAUUUAAUAAUUAUCAUCAUAUAUAAAACCUAUCAAUCACAAUUAUUGGGGGGACUGCCUUAUUAAUUUCACUACAAUAAUCAUUGUAACCAUCACUAUAAGUUUUAUUCAUUUGCAUUUAGCAAAAUAAAAAAAUAAAAAAAAGGAGGGACAUGUGGUUGGGUUGGGACUAAUGAAGGUGAAUUGAAAACUGAUUGAAAACUUAAGAUUUGUGUAAUUAGGGGGUUUUCCAAAUAAAACCUCACGAGGUAAUUUCCAAUUAAGUACAAUAGUGGGUAAUUUAUUAAUAAGAUGAGUAGCAGUAAGAAUAGCUUCACCCCAAAAACAUUUAGGAAGAUUUGACUGAAACAUGAUUGCCCUAGCAACCUGUAGGAGGUGUUUGUGUUUCCUCUCUACAACCCCAUUCUGUUGGGGAGUAUAAGGGCAAGAUUUUUGAUGCAAAAUUCCCUUAGAUUUGAAAAAACUUGUGUAAGAAUGAUUGAGAAAUUCUGUACCAUUAUCUGAUCUUACUACUUUAAUGUCUUUGCUAAAUUGAGUUUUAAUCAUGAGAAUAAAAUUAGAUAAGGUACUGCAAACUCUGGUUUUAUCAUGUAAAAGGAAAGUCCAUGCAGCCCCAGAACUAUAGUAAGAAAAUAUUUAGCUCCAGUAAUAGUUUGUAAGGGAUAUAGCCCCCCCACAAAUCGACAUGAAUUAAAUCAAAGGUACUAACAGAAGUAAUUUUGCUUUGAGGGAAUGAAAUCCUUUGCUGUUUUGCCAACUGACAAAUGUCGCAUGCUUGGUGACUGUUAUUCAUUACAUGUAAUUCAGGAAUAUGUAGGAGUUUAACAGAAGAUGGGUGACCCAGCCUAAGAUGCCACAAAUUGUUAUUUACAUGUGCAAAUGUUUGACAGACUUUAUUGCUAGCUUUAGGUACAUAUGUAUGUAGACUGAUAGUACUCUUAUUGCUGCUAAAAGGUACAAGAUCUAAUCUAUACAAUCCUCCAUGCAAGCAUCCUGUAGCCACUACUGUAUUAUUCACUUGGUCCUGCAAGACAUAUUUAUUAUGGAAAAAUUGAGUAGUGAUAGAUGAAUUUUGGGUAAGCUUGCUAACAGAUAAUAGGCUGUAUUUAAAACUAAGGGUAUACAGUACAUUAGUUAAGAUAAGAUUUGAUGUGAGAUGAACAGUACCAAUGUGUGAAACAGGCUUGGAAGAACCAUCUAGAAAUGCAACUAAAUUGUUAUGGCUAAGUUUUAUAGGUUUAUGAAACAAACUAAGGUCAUUACAGGUGAGAACUAGCUCCUGUAUCUACAAUCCAUAUUACCUCAGGCUUACCUUUAGAGCUAGUAGAGUAGCAAUUAAGAGUGUUACCUGCAAAAUCAUUGUAGGUCACACAUCCAGCUUCAUUCACCCCUGAUGGAAUAACAGUUUGGCUCUAGCUUCUUAUGUACUUCAAGAGUUCUUGCUGGAUCAAAUUUGAUUGUUGUAUCAUGUUGGAUAAUCCCACAUUCCAUUCAACUUGUUUAGGAACAUUCUCAUCAACACAAUCUAAAGGUGUCUCAUUCAUUUGACUGACAGCAGCAACAUUAGCCUUUCCUUUUCCCUUUUUGUGCUUGAAAUCAGUGUACCAGUCUGGAUAUCCAUGCAAUUUAAAGCAUGUAUCCUUAGUAUGUCCACUGGAAUUACAGUAACUACAAUUCUAUCAUCCUUUUUGCCAGCAAACUUCUUCUUGCCUUGGUAUUUAUUGCUUCCUGCAUUGACAGCCAAGGCAAUAUUAAGAUCUUGUAUUCCCAAAUUAUGAACUUCCUUUUGUUUUUCCACACUAGAACCAUAGAAUAAGCUCUAUUUACGUUAGGUAAAGGCUCUGAGAUCAGGAUCUGGUUCCUAACAUGUUCAUAACCUUCAUUCAGACCCAUUAAGAAUUCAAUUAACUUGUCUUCAUUGUCAAUAUCUGUCAUAUAUUUUGCUGCUCCACAAUUACAAGCAGAUAAAGGUCUUAAAGAGGCUAACUCAUCCCAAAACUUCUUGAUCUUAGUGAAAUAAGCCAUAACAGACAAAUUUAAUUGAGAAAAAAUACUUAUCUCAAGUUUGAUUUGGUAGAGUAAUGGUCAAUUGCUCUCACCAAACCUUUGUUUAAUCUCUUCCCAUAGUUCUUUUGCAGAUGCCGUGUACAAGAAAGCCUCAACAAGAUUUUUUGAGAGAGAAUUCAAGAUCCAAGAGAAGACCAUAGAAUCCACUUUCUGCCAUUUUUCAUAACUGUCAGAUCUAGGAUCUGGCAUAAUACACUUCCCAUUGAUAAAGCCCAACUUAUCCUUAGCUCUUAAAGCAGUAACCAUAGAUCUGCUCCAAGUUAGGUAAUUAUUG